CGCUAGACGAAAGGGUUUUGCGGUUUUUGAGCUGCUUCGCAAGACGAAUUUCCCUAUGGGCUUGCUUCGCAAGACGAAAACGUCUUGCAAGUUUGUUUCCUUUUUCUUAAAACCGUUAAUAUCCAGGGUGCAUUGCUUGAAGAGGUGCAGUUGCGACUUGACUUCGAGGAGCAACUCAUAGCACGCGGUGUGGUAGCCUUUUUUGAGGUUUUUGAAGACUUUGCUGAUUUUUGAAGCUUUUCCAAAACUUCUUUUGCAGCCAUUUGGUAAGUUAAACUUUUAAAACUUUUUUGGGGGUUUUUGGAUUUUGGGUUGGGGUGUUUGGAAUUCAAGGACUUGGUGUUAGGGAGGGGUUUGCAAGAAUCUGGAAGCUUGUGUGUUUUUUUUCUGCAUUUUAAUGAUUUUUUGUGACCAUUGGGCCACUCUGCUGUUUUUUUUAAAAAAAAUUCUGGGUUUGAAUUUCUGUGUGGUGGGUGGCUGGGGGAACAGUUGAGGAGGGGUUUGCAAGAAUCUGGAAGCUUGUGUGUUUUUUUCUGCAUUUUUAUGAUUUUUUGUGACCAUUGGGCCAUGUUGUUUUUUUAAAAAAAAAAUUCUGGAUUUGAAUUUCUGUGUGGUGGGUGGCUGGGGAAACAGUUGAGGAGGGGUUUGCAAGUAUCUGGAAGCUUGUGUGGUUUUUUCUGCAUUUUUAUGAUUUUCUGUGACCAUUGGGCCAUGUUGUUUUUUUAAAAAAAAAAUCUGGGUUUGAAUUUCUGUGUGGUGGCUGGCUGGGGGAAUGGUUGGGGAGGGGUUUGCAACAGUUGGGGAGGGGUUUGCAACAGUUGGGGAGGGGCUGGGGGAACAGUUGGGGAGGGGUUUGCAACAGUUGGGGAGGGGUUUGCAAUUUCUGUGUGGUGGGUGGGUGGCUGGGGGAACAGUUGAGGUUUUUGAAGACUUUGGUGAUUUUUGAAGCUUUUCCAAAACUUCUUUUGCAGCCAUUUGAGGUUUUAGAAGACUUUGGUGAUUUUUGAAGCUUUUCCAAAACUUCUUUUGCAGCCAUUUGGUAAGUUAAACUUUUAAAACUUUGUUGGGGGUUUUUGGAUUUUGGGUUGGGUGUUUGGAAUUCUAGGACUUGGUUCUGGGUUUGAAUUUCUGUGUGGUGUGGUGGGUGGCUGGGUGCUUUUGAAUUUUUUGGAUGUGAAGCACUGAUUCUUUUUUUUUUUUUGAGUUUGCGAAGGUAGGAGCUGUGCUGCCAUGGGACCCAAGAAGACUGCUGCUGCAGAGGCUGGCAAGAGGAAGAAGGAGAAGGUGACGCUGGAAAUGAAGAAGGAGAUCAUCCGGAAGCACGACGGUGGAAUGCGUGUGACAGACCUCGCCAGGGAGUACGGGAGGAAUCCAUCGACCAUCGGGACCAUCCUGAAGAUGAGGGAGAAGAUCCUUGCGACUGAUGCAGCCAAGGGAGUCACCAGGAUCGUGAAGAACCGCCCAGCUGUUCUGGAGGAGGUCGAGAAGUUGCUGCUCAUCUGGUUAGAAGAGAAGCAGCGUGCAGGGGACACAGUGACUGAGGC